rnacentral:tRNA from 1 species
GGGCGGUUAGCUCAGUUGGUUAGAGCGACUGUUUUACACACAGUAGGCCGGGGGUUCGAAUCCCUCACCGCCCACAA